rnacentral:rRNA from 1 species
AUUGAACGCUGGCGGCAGGCCUAACACAUGCAAGUCGAGCGAGCGGCGGACUGGUGAGUGAUUUCUUGGAAACUGCCUAAUUGAUGGGGCUAACUGCUGGAACCGGUAGCUAAAACUGCUAACCAUGAGUUCUGCCCAGGUGGGAUUAGGUAGUGGGUGGGGUAACGGCUCACCUAGGCGUCGAGGCCUAGCAGGUCUGAGAGGAUGACCAGCCACACUGGAACUGAGACACGGUCCAGACUCCUACGGGAGGCAGCAGUAGGGAAUAUUGCGCAAUGGGCGAAAGCCUGAUGCAGCCAUGCCGCGUGUAUGAAGAAGGCCUUCGGGUUGUAAAGUUCUGUCGUCGAGGAAGCGGUACUCACAGAAGAAGCACCGGCUAACUCCGUGCCAGCAGCCGCGGUAAUUC